rnacentral:rRNA from 1 species
GACAUUAGCUUGUUGGUAAGGUAACGGCUUACCAAGGCUGCGAUGUCUAGGGGGUCUGAGAGGACUAUCCCCCACACUGGUACUGAGACACGGACCAGACUCCUACGGGAGGCAGCAGUGAGGAAUAUUGCGCAAUGGAGGAAACUCUGACGCAGCCAUGCCGCGUGCAGGAAUAAGGCCCUAUGGGUUGUAAACUGCUUUUAUACGGGAAGAAAUAUAUCUACGUGUAGAUAUUUGACGGUACCGUACGAAUAAGGAUCGGCUAACUCCGUGCCAGCAGCCGCGGUAAUACGGAGGAUCCAAGCGUUAUCCGGAUUUAUUGGGUUUAAAGGGUCCGCAGGCGGGAAAUUAAGUCAGUGGUGAAAUCCUACAGCUUAACUGUAGAACUGCCAUUGAUACUGGUUUUCUUGAGUACACCUGAAGUGGGCGGAAUGUGUCAUGUAGCGGUGAAAUGCUUACAUAUGACACAGAACACCGAUUGCGAAGGGCAGCUCACUAAAGUGUCACUG